GUGCUUCUGCAGCAGCUCCUCUUGCACUGCCCGCCCGCCCGCUGCCGGUGUCGGGUAGCCGGCAGAGCGGCCCCGCUCCUCUGCAGGGCUGCAGGGCUGCGCAGCUCCUGACUGACAGAGAGAUGAGGGGUGGGGACGCAGGGUGGGGUCACAAGCAGGGAGAGGCGGAGGAGGAAAAGGCAGAGAGAGAGAGCCCAGCCCUUGAAUACACGGCAACAACACGCCGACAGAGAGAGAGAGGGAGAGACACAGAGAGACUGGCUGUUUUUUUUUUUGUUUUUUGGGGGGGUAAAAGCACAGGGAGCCUUCGACGCCGCGGAUAUGAACUGAAAAGAAACACUGGAAGAGGCAGGGAUCGUGUUCCUAUAUCCCGAAAUAUUUGACUGUAAAGGUGGAAAACUAGCACCCCCCAAAAAGCCCUCCUCUCUCUCCCUGACAGUUCUGAUUCAGAUAGAGCUACACCCAAAGCCCCGACCGACCCCCUCCUGCUCCUGCUGCUCCACCCCUCCGCCGCUGCACCGCUCCGGCAACCGAGAUGCACACGGAGACCCGUAACAAGAAAUGUCAGUCAACUCCAAAGCAGAAGAAGAGUGCGGUCAGUGCCCGGAAGAGGCUGAGGAGCCCGGCCAAGCAGAGCUCCUUGACCCAGCAAGAACCGCCACCUUCUUCAUCACCUCUGCCGCCCACAGUCCAGGAAGAGGAGGAGAAGAAAGAAGAGCCCGCGACCAGGCCACGGCCAACGCAGGGAGAAGAGGAGGAGCUGAAGGAAGUGGCGACACAGUCUGUGAGGGUGAAAGAGGAAGAAAAGAAAGCAGAGGAGGAGGGCGAGAAAGACAUGCCCUCUGUACAGAUCAAACCAGAGCCAGAGGAGAUGGAGUGCACGCAGGCAGAUAUAGGUGAUGACGGCUCACAGCCGAAAGACCUGAAGGUGAAGAAGGAGUGCAAGACGGAGCCCUCCUCGCCUCAUCCGAGCCCCACUGAGGACCAGACUGAGCCCGUUGACCUUUCGCUCAACAAACCUCGCUCCGCUUCGACAACGAGCACCACAGUCAACCCAGCUCCCAGCAGCGCUGUGACCCAGCCCAGCCUGUCAGCCACACCUGUCCCCUCUGCGGUACAAUCGAUAGGCUCCAUGGUCCUCUCUCCAGGAUCCAUCUUAGCCACGCAGGGCGCUGGAGGCCAGCAGAUUCUCCACGUUAUCCAUACAAUCCCCUCAGUGACCAUGCCCAGCAAGGUGGGUCAGCUGCAGACCAUCCCUGUGGUGGUGCAGUCGCUGCCUGUUGUCUACACCACCAUGCCUACUGACGGUGUCGCCACAGCAGCCAUUACGGUGCCGCUGAUAGGCAGUGAUGGGCGCUCUGAAGGAUCUGUUCGGAUCAAGCCAGGUUCAACAUCUCCAGUGGAAUAUCAAAGUGAAAGCGAUGCAGAGAGCGGUACAGAGUCUGGAUCGGCUUCCAUCAGCGCCCAGAGCCUUGAUGCGGGGUCGGUUAUGGACUUGGAGCCCGUCGAUCCAGAUUCGCCAGACAUCAAGAGGCGGCGGAUCCACAUGUGCGACUACGAAGGCUGCAAAAAAGUUUACACCAAGAGCUCCCACCUCAAAGCCCACAGGAGGAUACACACAGGAGAGAAGCCCUACCACUGUACCUGGGAAGGCUGCACCUGGCGCUUCGCCCGCUCCGACGAGCUGACCCGACACUUUCGCAAGCACACCGGAAUCAAACCCUUCCGCUGCACCGAAUGCGACCGCUCCUUCUCCCGGUCUGACCACCUCUCUCUGCACCGCCGCCGCCACGUGAUGAUGUGAACUCUGACUUCCUUCCUUCCUCUCCCCUGACGCCCCCAGCUCCCUAUCAAACUGACCUCUGACCCUUUGAUUUCUCAAAAGCCCCUCACAGCACAUCUUGUACCAGUGCCCCCACACCUCACACGAUACUUCCUGUUUCCUCUCUGCUCUCCUGCGGGAUUUUAAACCCACCUUGCAAAUAGAAAAAAAAAAGGACUUUACCUUUUCCUCCUCUUCCUCCUCAUCUUCAUCUCACAGUCAUAGGACAAUUGUGUCUGUGUGUUUGUUCGGUGGUGGCAGCAGGAUGUUUUUUGCUGCGUGUGUGUGUCUGUCAUCAUUACCGUCCAGCCCAAAGCAGUCCUCUCUACCAUCCUCCGACUCAGUCACACAAGAUGUUGCCUCCUCAGAAAGAGAAAGGAUGGACUGAAGGACAUCCAGCAGCAGGGACUUUCAUGCUUCCAUCCAUCCAUUACAUGCAUCAGUCCAUCCAAAAGGCAAAGAGGAAGAGGAGGGCUCACACAGAUGUCACUUCAGCUGCUCUUUUCUUGAUUUACAGUUUUUAUUUUGUUCAUAUCCUGAGUUUGGAAUCUACGUGACUCCAAAAUUUAUUUUCUUGGAAGCUAAAGAGACUUCCGAGGACGCCGCUUCCCGCCACUGCUUUUCCAGGAAAAGUUGUUUUUGAGAACUUUGAGUUUCGUUCCACCCCAGUUAUAUUUGCCUGAGGCAAAUGUGAUCUUACUGAGUGACCUUUUGAUCAAAUAACAGCAGCUGAAGUGACGUCAGAUGCAUCAGCAUGUCUGAGGCUAAAACACUGCGCCCCACCCUCCCAUCGCCAUUCGCCUCCUUCUGCCCUAAACCCCCGCCACCUCCCCCGGUACAGGGAGCUACAAGACUGUGAAUUUAAUAAAACUUCAUUUGUUUUCAUUGUAUUGAUCUAUCGAUCACGUGGUUGUUAUCGCCCCCCGCCCCCUCCCCCGCCGCACACACCUUUCCGAUUCCUCUUGAAUAACAGUAUUUGCUUUGUUUGCGCCGUCGUCGCUGUUGUUUUAUCAGAAAAACACAAAAAAAGGCCUUUAGUCCUGUCUACAUUUUUUCUUUUC